AAUAAAUUUUUUCAGCAUGAUUAAUCAAUUUUUAGCAUGUUUAAUUAAAUGGUUAGAAUGUUUGAUUAAUUUUUGGGCAUGUUCAACAUAACCUUCAGCAUGUUCGAUAACGUUUAAAUAUAAUAUCAAAAUGUUAGUUUUUAGCCAUCUUUAGUAUGUUGGUAAAUAUUUAGCAUGUCACAAUGAAAUUCCUGCAAUAAUACAAUUUCUGUCACAUAUUAAAAGACAUAUUUUGAGCACCUUUUGAUAUGCCUAAACACUAAAAUAAGUAUAUUAUGGAAUUCUUAAUAUGUUAACAUCUUUAAAUAUUCUUGUUGAUUUCUUAUGUUCUCAUUUAUAUUUACAACACUUAAUUAACAAGCACAUUUUUGUUUGACAUAUUUACCACACUUUUAACACCUUUUAUGAACACACAUAAGGUUGUUGCAUACACGAAUCACAGUCUUUUAUCACGAAUCGUUGAUCAUUUAGCAUUAUGACUAUAGGUUAAUGAUAAUAAAAUUUGCUUGUCUUUGCGUGUCAUCACACUAAUUAACAUUAACUGAUCAAGAGGCUAACUUGGGAUUAUUACGUGCUACCUGUGUCCAAUAUGUUCGCGCUUCGAGUCCUAGGCAACAUAGUUUUCUUUUAGUCUAGAACACAAAUCCAAUAUAGCAAAGUGCAAUGCCUCUUGUACAAUAGUCGGGAUGUUAAAUAUUACUUAAAACGUUAGUUUUGUCCUUGUCAUACAACGCCCUUAGAUUUGACAUCCAGCCUAGGUAGGGUGGGACGGGUUGUCCUUUUCAGAAAUGAUGAUCCCAACAAAUAUUAACGGUGAGACUAAUGACAUUAUUACUUAUCUAAGAGUUCAGUCUUUGGGUCGGAUGAUGACUAAUAAGUUGGGUUUCUGAUCCGAAAAAAAUCAAAACAUCUCUUUGUUUGACUCGGAUGAUUUCUUUUAGUCUUUUUAUGUAUUUUACAUGUUUAUUUGGGGUACCUAGUUUAUUAUAAAGCAGUCCCCUUUUUAUUAUAUGUCAUUUGUUUCUCCUCUCUUAUCUUAUUUCUAUAUUUUUUAUUUAUUUUAUCACCUAGAUAAUCGAUAAUUAGCAUUAACAAAUGACAUGUGUUUGCUUAUUAAUUAUCUUAUUCCUUAGCUGAACAUUAAAUUAAUAAUAAAAUAUGAAUUUAUUUGAUCACGUAGAAUCUCCAUGUAAAGUAUGAAUUCGGCCGGGAACCACCUUUGUGGACCUCGAAAGGUGCCUAACACCUUCCUUUUAAGGUAAUUUGAAUCAUUAUCAGAACUCUGGUGAACUAAGACUAAAUAACAAAAUAGGUUCGUAGUAUCCUAGACCGGUGCCCCAACACACCUUAAUACGUUUGGUGGUGACUCUCACACCCUUCCUUUCAGACGCAAUCCCAAGAGAGUUCAUCGAGUCGAAUCCCACCUUCUACGAGGAAAAUGGGGCGCGACAGAAUGGCUACUCUGCUAGGGAACUUGUAAGGUUCUAACCAUUAUGAAUUUAUGCUUUAUGUGGGAUUCUCUCUAUAUGCUUUCGUUUGUUAUUUUUUGACAUGAUUUAUUUUCAUAGGUUCUCUUUUUCUAUUUUUUGUGUUAUUCAUGUGUCCCAUGUCUACAUGUUCUUUUAUUGGUAAUUAAUUUACACAUGUUAUUCCAUUGUCCUUCCCCUUCUUUUGUGUAUUAUUCAUGUUUCUCCAUGCCUGCUUUUUAACUGGUUAAUUUACGCAUGUUAAUCCCUUUUCCUUCCCCCUUUUAUGUGAUAUUCGCAUUCUCUCCAUGCUUGAUUAUUCUUGGUUAUAUACUUUAAUGUUUAUUUUUCAUAUUGCUACAGUAUGCCCUUGUUUGUUGCUAUGUGCUAUGUGUUACUGCUUUAUAUAUAUGGCAUUCCGCUCAUACUCUUUUCCAAUUGGAAACCUCUUUUAUUUUCUCUUAGAAACGGUUACGUGAAUACACGGACGUUCAUUCCUAAAAGACCCUUUGGGAAAUAUCUUGUGGAUCAGUCGACCAGCGGUGCGUUGACAGCCACAAGCAUUUCCCACUCCCAAGUUGUCCACUUAGGGGGACCAUGUCAAAAUCACUCUUAUUCCUAGAGCUAAACCGUUUAUCCCUUUAUUAAGGAAUGAACAUCCCAAAAUCCUAGGAUGUCAUGCUACAAAACUUGGCCCUAAGUUCUAAGGGAUCCCAUGAUCCCGAAAUGACCGCCUCACUAUUAUGUGCAUUUUGAGAGACAAUUAUGCCAAAAUAAUCCCAGUUACUCUUUGGGGGUAGGGUAGACUAACACUUUGUUUUGCAGAUUUGAUGGUCAUCCCAACUUCAUACCCCAGAUUUAGCAUGGUUUGGUGCAUGCCUCCGCACAUGGAACAUUGAUGGUCAGACUUGGGGUACUUUGCAUGAAGCAAGGUCGAACAAGCACUAGGAAGUUUGCCCUCCCUCAUAAACAUCAAUCCUUGUAGAGAACUCAUUUAAGCGGCCACUGCAUCCUGGGAUGAAACGAGAUCGGUAUUCAGGUUUGGUAAUGUGGAGAUGAACCAUUUUUGGAAGAAAUUAGGGGAUACGUGGAAAAUAAGAUGUUUCCAAGAGCGAUGAGAUGGCAACAAGCUGAGGUCAUCAUCCCCAAAAGUGUCACUCUAGAGGAAGCGAACAACAAACUGGGUCUCCAUGGCAGCCGACUAGUAGCCUAUGUGAUGAGGUCAAAAAUUCCCGCUAGAUAUUUAGCCAACAGAUUUGCCUACCAGCAAGGGAAACAGAUAUAUGUAGUAGAGAGAUCUGACCCUGCUUCUUGGGAAGAUAAAUGAAUUAUUGGAUUCAUCGCUUACUUCCUAGGAACGGUGGUCUUUCCAAUCAGAGCGAAAGAAGUUAUGCACACUACCGUAGCUGACGCAUUAUGCAAUGGGAUUAAUAGGAGGCCUUACAUAGUCGUAGCCAUGAUAGUGGUAGACACCUACAAGUCUCUUGGAAGAUGCAAAAAUGGGGCCAAACAUUUUGAGGGAUGCAACUUGUUGCUGCAGUUAUGGUUGAUCGAACAUCUCCAGAAAAUUCAUGGUCUACAAAGCAUGCUAAGGUCGUUUGGAAUCAACAACAUCUCUUCCCAUGAUACCUGAGUCAUGUUGGGAGUCACAAAGAUUAAGCGGCCGACCGAGACAGAAAAAUGGGGGCAAAUAUUGUGCACUCUGACGGAAGACUCCGUGUAAUGGAUGUUUGAAUGGUUUCCUAGAAUGGACUUUGUGAUGUACCAACAACACUACAUUUACUUGGUUUUGAUCGGACUUUACGGGCUACAACCAUAUGCACGUGCUAGAGUAAUGAGGCAAGCAGGAAGAAAACAAAUAAUCCUAAAGGUUGCCGACAUGGACGCACACCGAAUAGACUAUGAAAAUGAUAAAAUCCCAAAUGCCAUCUAACUGGCCAAAGCUUGGAGAGGAAAGACUCAUCUUGACAAGGGGAGUAUUGCGGCAGAUAGAUACAACCCAAGCUAUACAGUAAGAUAUAUUAAGUGGUUGUAUGCCGAUUGGAAAAAUAAGGUAACCCCGGGCAUUAAAAGAGGUAGACAUGUUAAUGACAAGGAGGUUGAAGCACAAGUCCUCUAUCGUAAAUUCAAGAAGAGAGCUUUAGCAUCUGAGGCAUGCUAUCACCACAUUAUUGCCGAAAAUGCCAAAGAAAUGGCCAGCAUGGGGAAACAACUGGAGUUGUGGACGCAUCGUACUUUGACAAUAGAAAGAAAGGUGAUAUAACUACGAGAUGAAUUCUACAAAUAAGGACAAGAAUGCACUAAUAUGGAAGGCAUGGUAGGAAAAUUAGCAUCAUCCUAUCUCUUGGCAAGAUGCCACCGCUUCGACAAGGUCCUAGAAGACGACAAUGAAGAGCAAGAAGAGGACGUAUUCAAAAUUUAGUAUUUAGGCAUUUUUGUAUUUACUUUAUUUUAUUCUCUGGAAUAUUAAAACAAUUCAAAUGGAAUAAAGUUUGUUUUGGGGUUUUAUCUUGAGCAAAUGGCAUUAUUUUAUAACAUAAUUAUCUCUCAAACAAUGAUAGGCCUACCUCUGGCUCAAAGAGGCUUUCUUCGUAGGACACGUCAAACAAUGUGCUAUGUGUUAAUCCUGUUCAUUCUCUUAUCACUAACACACUAACUUUUUCACCUUUUUGUUUAUUUUGUUUUCCCCCUACCCAUAGGUUGAUUUGUGCAUUCUGGCCUAUCAUACUAGAUCAAAAAGGCUCCUCCUUCUCCUCCUCCUUUACCUACAAGCUCCAAAGAAAAAAAAGUAAUGGGUGAUUGUCACAUCAUUGGGGAAAAAGAAGGUACUAGUUUAGAAGGGGAUAGAAUUAUUGGUCAGAACCAGGUGAUAAUGAAAAUGGAACAGAGGAUCCCGGAACUGCAAGCAGAAUUGGCGCAAGUGUGCAAUUUGGCUACACUCUCCCUCAACCUAAAUACUCUAGAAUUGCAAGCCGAUAGCUUUGCCAUCCCGAAAUCCCAAGAUUCCUCAGACCAUCCAAUACCCCAUCUUGAACUACAAAACCCUACCAACAUCCAAAAUAUCCAAAAUACCACAGCUCUACUUUAUAUGCCCACCCAAGAACCAAGGAACUCCGCUUAUCCAUCUCCUUAAAAGCCUCCGCAUCCAAACAUAUACCAUUACCACGCUUCCGGAAUCAACAAUCUGAACCCCAUCUAUGUUAAAACACUUCCACUUGACCAUCCUCAACCCACUUUCGAGAACCCUAAAAAUAACUAUACCAUCCAAGCUAUAGUCGAAAGGUUGAGACAUUUGGAGGGAAACAAAGCCAUGAAGGGUCUCAAUUACGAAGACUUGUGCAUCCACCCCAAUGUCAAACUACCGGGGAGGUACAAACCUCCCAAGUUCGAGUUAUACGAUGGGACUGGAGAUCCUAAAGCUCAUCUACAUGUGUACUGUAACAAGCUUUCGGGUGUAGGGAAGAACGAGAAAAUUUGGAUGAAGAUAUUCAUGAGAAGCCUCACAGGGGAGGCUCUUACAUGGUAUCUUGAGCAGGAUAUGAAAAAAUGGGUAGACUAGCUUGACUUGGCAUCUAGCUUCGUUGAUCAAUUCUAGUACAAUAUCGACAAUUCUCCGAGUUGGACUUACAUGUAGGCCAUGAGGAUAAAGCCUAAUGAAUCCUUCCGCAAAUACUCCAUGAGAUGGAGGGCCGAGGCUGCAAGAGCUUGGCCUUCAGUUGAAGAGCAAAAGAUGAAAGAAUAUUUUGUCAAGGCACAAGAGCCACAGUACCUUGACAAGCUGUAACAUUCACAGACAAGAGCUUCUCCAAAAUCAUCAAAAUCGGAGAAAUAUUUGAAGAGUGUCUUAAAAAUGGUAGCAUUAUCCUCUUGAACACACAACCUACAGGAAUAGAAGAAAAUAAGAUGAAAAAAGAGAUAGGGUCGGUGAUGGUGGCCCAACCUUCCAAGAACGCCUCGAGCCAUACAACCCCAGCUCCGUCUCCCUUAUCCUACCUAUAAAUGCCCUAUACUACUCCCCACCCACCACAAACUCCAAUUCAAUAUCAAACCCCACUAUACCAAAUGCCUCAACCUUACCAAAUACCUCAGCAAUUAUCAAACCCCUCCUACCCCAUAUAUAAUGCCCAACCUAUACAAGUCCAAACCUCCCAACCCACUCAUGUCCCUACUGCUAGGCCUGGAGCCACUAAGCCCAAGAGAAAUAUUAAGAGAAGAUGGUACACUGCUUCAGCUGAGCCAAUGGCUCAACUCUAUGAAAGGCUCAAGAAGGUGGGUUAUAUCACAACCAUUACAGUCGUACAAGUUGACAUAAAAUCCCCACAGUACCGACAUGAUCAGACAUGCGCCUACAACUUUGGAAUGAGGGGACAUCCUAUAGAGGCGUGCUACACCUUGAAGAACAAAUUCUAACAACUGAUUGAUACCAAGGCGAUCCAAUUAAAGGACCCAGAACCCAAUGUUACCAAUAAUCUUCUCCUUGCUUAUGAGGUGAAUAUGCUCGAGGUCGAUGAUGAUGUAGACUUAGAGAACUCUAUUUGGGUUAUUGAGUAAGGGAACAGAACCCCUAUCACGGUAUGGAGACAAGUUCCCUUUGAGGUUGAGGUUGCUACACCCAAAGCUCCUUUCACUGUAGUAAGAGAUACUCCAGUUGUAACCAAUCCUCAUGCAGUACCAUGGGAUUAUGACAUCAAUGUUCCAAGGAAGGCAAAGGUAGCCGAAAUAGACGUUGCGCAAGGUGUCACCAGAUCAGGCAGAAUAUACACUCCUGAAAAUUGGCUUCAAGGAAGCUCUAGAAAAGGAAAGCAACCUGCUAUUGUGGUUAAAGAUGGCAUCUGGAAAAGGGUACAUGUAAAGGAGUAUUCCAUGGCCGAACAGCUAGUAAGACUCCGGCCCAGAUUUCAAUAUUGGCAUUGCUCCAAACUUUGGAAAACCACCAAAAGGCCUUGAUGAGGGUCUUAGGUGAAGCUUAUGUGCCGGCUACCACUAUAGAAGGAGAUAUGGCCCAUAUGGUAGGGCAAGUAUUUGAGGCUUACAAGAUUUUGUUUCAUGUGACAAAUUGCCGCCUGAAGAAAGAGCGCACAAUCGGGCUCUACAUGUCACACUACAGUACGAGAGAAAGAUGACAUCCCGUGUUCUGAUUAAUCCAAUCUGGGAUUGAAUAGCUGCCCUUUGAACACCUUGACUAGAUUGAAGAUUGAUAUGUCCAAGGUGCAAAUGUGGAAAAUAAACGUGAAGAGGUUUGAUGGCUCUUAAAGGGCACAAUUGGAGAAAUUACAUUGGACGUGAUGAUGGGUCCAGUCCCUUUCUCCAUACCCUUCCAGGUGAUGGACAUUCCUGCAUCUUAUAACUUGCUACUCGGACAUCCUUGGCUUUAUGCAGCUGGUGUCAUAUCCUCCACGCUUCAUCAGUGCCUCAAGUUUGAAUACGAUCAUCAAGAGGUUGUGAUACACGGGGAGAAGGGCCUCAAGUUUGAAUACGAUCAUCAAGAGGUUGUGAUACACGGGGAGAAGGGACAUCCAAUAUACAUCGUCAAAGGAAAAAAAUACCUUGAUGGAGAAAUGAUCCAUACUCUUAAAUUGGUAAGAAGCAUUGAAGGGGGGCAGCACAACGACGCUUUAUUUAUCACCGUACAAUAUGAAGAAAAGAAAAUUUCAUGAGUACUGAUUGAUCCUGUACCUGGGGUAAAUAUUUGCCCCUGGCUACCUUGACGCAUUUUGAAAAUGAUUAGACUAGGAUUCAUCCCCGAGUAAGGGUCAUAAGGGCAUAUGAUGGCUCACAGCAAAAACACUAUCGGGGAGAUCAUGCUAAACGUCUAUUAGGCCCUGCCUCAUUCCCUAUACUCUUUCGGGUAUUGGAUAUUCCCGCCUCAUAUAAUCUGCAGCUUGGUCGACCUUAGAUCCAUAUGGCUAGUGCAGUCCCGUCCCCCCUACACUGAUGCAUUCAAUUCGAGUACUUUCAACAAGAAGUACUAAUCUGGGGUGAAAGAGGGCAAGGAGGGCUCAAUACUUUACAAUAGAUUGGGAACAUUGAAGAAGACACCAUAAGUUGCAUGUAACUUGAGAAACCCUUGAACGCUUGGAGUUACAUGCGUUGGUUUUGGUAUGAAGAGGACAAAGUUCUUGGCGCCAGAUUGCAAGGGAUAAUUGAUCCUUUAGUAGUUAUCAAAAGGGAACAUGAUUGCGAGCUAGGCUAUAAAGGAAAAAACACACCCGACCUUGUAUUGUCACUAUACCAAAUCUUUAUUUCUGUAGUAUUUCGUGAAAAUGACGAUGUCAUUAAAAUAACAGAGAUGCUUAAAAGGCUCACCCUAAUCGAGGACAUCACCUUCUUUUAUGAAGACCUAGAUGAUAUUGAAACUAAAGAGGCAGACAUGAUCGAUGAUGAUAUCGUGGGGGUAGAUAUGACUUGGAUGAACAUAGGGGGAAAGAUGAUGAAAGGGUAUGAACCUGGUAAUGGUUUGAGAGCAAAAUUGCAAGGAAUCAUCGAACCUAUACAGCCAAAGUUUAAGAAGGACACAUUUGGCCUGGGGUACAAAUACACUACGGAAGAGUACCUCGACUGGGAGUCACCUUUAGGCCGCUACUGCCCUCUACCAAAUCUACUGCCUACACAACAUAAAACCUUUCGUUCAGCUGGUUUUCCAGACAAUUUGGAAGAAGACAUCUUGAAGAGCUUAAGUUUUUUUUUCUGACGGAGGAAGACGGUUGCCAUGUCAUUAUUAGUGAAGAGGGAGGAGCCCCUAGCCCAAUCAACGAACAAAAGGUCGUUGCCAGUAGUUGGACUAUCACUCCUUCCAGGCUACGCCGUGCACUUGGGUAGACAUGAUAAAGAUUAAUGUUUUAGCAUUCAUUUUUUUUUAAUAAACUCAAUUAGUCAAGACGUUUUGAAGUUUUUAGUUCCUUAUUUUCAUUUCAACACUAUGUUUCAUGACAUUCACUUUAUCAAUAAAAUUUUACUUUUUGAUUAUUAAUGUUCUUUAUUUAUCUUUUCUUUCAGCAAACUCACAUUUAAAAUUGUUGAAUCUGAGAUUGUGACGUCUAAUGAGACAAUACAACAUAAUAUAAGUGAAGUUGCUGAUACAGAGGACUUGGAGAUUCCCCAGGAAUUUGUGAAUGUAAAAGAAACCCACAUCAGCGUUCACUUAUCAAAAGAAGAGAAGGAAGAAUACAUCCAGUUCCUAAAAAAUCAUCCAGAUGUGUUUACUUGGUCUUAUGCCGACAUGACAGGACUAAGCACUUCAAUAGUGGCUCAUAGACUACCUACAGAACCCUCUUAUUCGCCGAUCAAAUAGAAACUCAGAAAAUACAAGCCUGAUUUGAGUUUGAAAAUCAAAGAGGAGAUCUCAAAAUAGAUCACAAUCGGUAUUCUUUGAGUGACGAAGUAUCCAACCUGGUUGGCCAAUGUCGUACCUAUCCCCAAGAAAGAUGGGAAAGUUAGGAUUUAUGUAGACUACAAGGAUCUCAACAAAGCUAGUCCCAAAGAUGACUUCCCACUCCCGAAUAUUCAUAUCUUGAUUGAAAAUUGUGCCAAGCAUAAAACACAGUCAUUCGUGGACUGCUUCAUCGGUUAUCACCAGAUCAAGAUGCACGAAGACGAUGCAAAAAAGAAUGUCUUUAUUACUUCAUGGGGAGUGUAAUGCUACAAAUUCAUGUCGUUUGGUCGAAAAAACACUUGAGCUACCUACAUGAGGGCCAUGACCACUUUAUUUCAUGACACGAUCCACAAGGAGAUUGAAGUUUAUAUGGAUAACGUCAUCAUCAAAUCAAGAAAAGGUACAUGUCAUUUGGCAGAUUUAGAAAAAUUCUUUGACAGGUUUAGGAAGUACAAUUUGAAGUUAAACCCGCGAAGUGCAUCUUUGGAGUCCCCGUAGGAAAUUAUUGGGCUUCAUCGUCAGUCGUAGGGGCAUAGAACUAGACCCUGCCAAGAUCAAGGCCAUCCAAGAUCUUCCUCCUCCUAAAAACAAGAAGGAUGUCAUGAGCUUCUUGGGUCACCUCAACUAUAUUAGCCGGUUCAUAGCCCAAUUUACGGUCAUUUGUAAACCAAUUUUCAAGCUGCUAAAGAAGGAUGCUGCUGUAGAAUGGACAAUAGAGUGCCAACAAGCAUUCAAAAAGAUCAAGGAUUAUCUGUCAAAUCCUCCCAUUUUGGUUCCUCCUUAACCUGGUAGGCCGCUGCUAUUGUACCUAUUUGUGACCGACAAUGCCUUCGGAUGCAUUUUGGGAUAGCAUGACGAGAUAGGCAAGAAAGAACAGGCCAUCUACUACAUGAGCAAGAAGUUCACUUCCUAUGUGGCACGAUAUUCUCUUUUGGAGUGCACCUGUUGUGCUCUAACUUGGGUGGCUCAAAAGUUAAGGCACUAUCUCUUAGCGCAUACUACUUACCUAAUCUCUAGAAUGGAACCACUGAAAUACAUCUUCCAGAAGUCGAUGCCUACUGGAAAGUUGGCCAAAUGACAGAUACUGUUGAGUGAAUUUGACAUAGUCUAUGUCACCCAAAAGGAGGUAAAAGCACAAGCACUAGCAGAUCAUCUGGCCGAGAAUCCCGUAGACGACGAGUACCAACCAUUGAAAACUUACUUUCUUGAUGAGGAGGUGGCAUUCGUAGGAGAGGACAUCUCUGAUGAAUACGACGGUUGAAGACUAUUAUUUGAUGGAGCUACAAAUUUUAAAGGAGUUAGAAUUGGCGUUGUUGUGAUCUUCGAAACUAGUCAACACUAUUCUGUGUUGACCAAGCUCAGAUUUCUUUGCACUAACAACAUGGCCGAAUAUGAAGCCUACAUCUUAGGACUUCGAUUGGCUAUUGACUUGAACUUCCAAGAGAUAUUGGUGAUUGGAGAUUCAGAAUUAUUGAUCCAUCAGGUACGAGGUGAGUGGGCUAAUAAAAACACAAAACUCCUACCCUAUCUAGAGUGUGUACAAGAGAUGUACAAGAAGUUCCACAAGAUAGAGUUCAAACAUAUCUCGAGGAUCCAGAAAAAGUUUACAAAUAUUUUGGCCACUUUGUCUUCCAUGAUCCAAUGUCUAGACAAGAAUUACAUUGAUCCUAUUCCCAUUCAUGUACAUGAACGGCCCACGUAUUGCUUCCAUGUUGAAGAGGAAUCAAACAAAAAACUAUGGUAUACAGACAUACAAAGGUAUUUGAAAAAUGGAGACUAUCCUAAGAAUACGACAAGUGUUCACAAACGUACCACUCGGAGGCUAGCCAACCAAUUCUUCCUAAAUAGAGAAAUCCUAUACAGGAGGACUCCUGAUUUAGGAUUACUAAGAUGUGUCGAGGCCGAAAAGGCAUCUAGGCUGAUUGAAAAGUACAUGCUGGAACAUAUGGUCCACAUAUGAAUGGCUUCACGUUGGCUAAGAAGAUAUUAAGAUCAAGCUACUUCUGGCUGACCAUAGAAAUCGAUUGUAUCCGCUAUGUGCAGAAAUGCCGCCAGUGUCAAACUCAUGAUGAUAUAAUUCGAGUUCCUCCCAACAAACUCCAGGUCACCAACUCUCCUUGCCUCUUCGUAGCUUGGGGCGUGGAUAUCAUUGGUCCCAUUGAGCCGACAACGUCCAAUGGUCACAGAUUCAUCCUUAUUGCAAUUGACUACUUCACCAAGUGGGUAGAAGCCACCUCUCACAAAUCAGUCACAAAGAAGGUCAUAGACGACUUCGUUCUAAAAAACAUCAUUUGCCAAUUUGGAAUUCCCGAAUCCAUCAUCACUGCCAACAGUUACAAUAUCAACAGCGACCUGAUGAAAGCCACAUGUGAGAAAUUCAAGAUCAAGCAUCAAAAUUCCACAGCUUACAGGCCACAAAUGAACGAAGCAGCUGAGGCAGCAAAUAAGAACAUCAAAAGAAUCCUGUGUAAGAUGAUUGACAACAGUCGACAUUGGUAUGAAAAGCUACCCUACGCAUUGCUAGGGUACCGUACCACCAUCAAAAUGUCCACAGGUGACAUGCCUUACUUUCUGGUUUAUGGAAAUAAAGCAGUGAUACCAGCUGAGGUCAUAAUACCAUCUCUAAGAAUCAUCCAGGAAGCAGAAUUGAGUGACACUGAAUGGAUACAAAAUAGAUUCGAGCAACUGGCUCUCAUUGAUGAAAGAUGAAUAAAUGCAGUUUGCCAUGGUCAACUCUAUUAGAACAGAAUGACCAAAACUUUCAACAAAAAGGUCAGGCCAAGACACUUCGCGCCAGGACAACUAGUUUUGAAGCAAAUUUUUCCACAUCAAGAUGAGACAAAAGGCAAAUUCUUGCCUAAUUGGUAAGGCCUUUAAGUGGUUUAUCGAAUCCUGACAGGAGGCGCACUUAUACUUGCAGAAAUGGAUGGCAUGGUUUGGUCUAAGCCUAUCAAUUCAGACGAUGUUAAGAGAUAUUAUGUUUAAUUUUAUCUUUAUUCCCCUUGAAUUGUAUUUGGAACUACGUAGGACCUGAUUCCCGUUUAAGACUGAUACGUAGGCGCUCCUGUGGAGUUCGGUCACUUCAUAAUAAAAUAUUUUAUUCCCCUCUCUUAGAAUAUGAUAACUGGGGCAGAAUUUUUAAGAGGGCCUCAAAAAUUCCACGUGGACAUGAUGUCGGCAUAAAUUGCAAACUGGGGCAAAAUUUUUGAGACGACCUCAAAAAUUUUAUGAGCAAGACGCUGGAAUUCUCGUAACAAGAAUAGUUCUAUAUUGGGGCAGAAAUUUUUUAACGUACCUCAAAAUUUUUGGGCAAGAGAACAAGGAUCUGCAAGAUGUUGUACCGUCUCAAAACAUGUCACAAUCAACGAUUCAACAAAAUUUUUAUGUUUAUUCUAACAAAUUUUACUUACUACUCUUAAAAGACAAAUUUUCUUUUCAAAACAUGAUUUUCUUUUCAAAGAUGAUUUUCCUUUUACUGUCCAUCUACCCAAAUGAAGGCAGAGAAAAAGUUCAUCAACAAGGUGACGACAUCAUGAGGAGAAUACUUCAGUCAAGGAAAAAGCACAAAUCAACCUCCCUUUUUUACAAACUCACAUUUUUUCUUUGAUACAGGAUUAACAAGUACAGAUAACAACAAUCAUUCCACCACGAAGGAGCAAUAGACAAUCAAACAUCAUGGCAAGGAACUUCACGAUCAAUUCAACUGUGAGACAGCUACACUUUCUUAUCUUUUAUUAUCUUUACUGUUACAUUUGUUUGCUACAAUCCCCUACGUACACACAUAUAUUCUUACUAAUUAUUUCUACUGAGUCAAGCUACAAGUGGCAGGUACGGGCCAUGAUUCGACAAUGGAGAAGCUUAAAUGUCGAUCCGAUAAUGGAGAAGCUUCAAUACCGAUCCGACGAUGGAAAAGCUCCAAGGCCGAUCCAACGAUGGAGAAGCUCCAAUGCUGCUCCGAUGAUGGAGAGGCCNNNNNNNNNNNNNNNNNNNNNNNNNNNNNNNNNNNNNNNNNNNNNNNNNNNNNNNNNNNNNNNNNNNNNNNNNNNNNNNNNNNNNNNNNNNNNNNNNNNNNNNNNNNNNNNNNNNNNNNNNNNNNNGAUCGGAGGAUAGGAAAGCCAAAGGACUGAACCGACGAUAAAGAAGCUAAAAUGUUGAUCCGACGAUAGAAGCCAAGACGCUGAUUAUAAAAUAGAUACACUUUCUUUAUCUUCACAAUUAUGUUACGUUUAUUAAAUGUUCAUUUUUUACAUUUCUUACCCUGUUAUUUAGUGAUAUAAAGACGCAGGUAACAGAGAAGGAAUAACAAAUAGAAACAAUUUUUGUUUCUAUUUUUGAAACAUUACUCCAUCUAUUCAUCCACCACUUGAACUCAUCCUGAAACUCAACGACCUCAAACAUCUUCGAAAUUCUCCAUACGUCAUUGUUUCAUUCUAUCUCAAAUCCUAUUUGACCCACGAUACCAUUUUUUGAUGCCCCAACCUUUGUCAUAAUUUUCUUUAGGAAUAUUGUUCAUUCCUAAAUCUAGAACUAUAAAUGGCUAGAUUCUCGUAAAAACAGAGAUAUGGAGGUGACUUAAAUCCAAAUUCUCGGCCACACUAUUUUUAACACUUUUCAUGCUUUUUUUUCUAGCGAACUAUCAUCUUGGUCGGACAAAUUGGCUGCUACGUCAACUUUCGUUGCUUGAAAAUUCUUUCAUCAUUCUCAAACAACCAAGGGGCAGUUGUUGACACCCAAUUUUGACCUCCCGAUAUCACUUUUAGGCUGUUAUUUAUCAAAAUUAUUUAACCUUAAUUAUUAACUUUUUUUACAUAUUAUUUCCAUUUUUAAUACAUACUAACGUGUCUCAUCUGUAACUUAGAAAAAUGCAUAAAUUAUUUUAUUAUCUUUUUGUAUAUAAUUUUUAAAUCAAAUACGAUAUUUUACGUAAUUUCAUUAAUUAAAUUAUUUUUCACGUAAUUGUGCACUCAUAGUGUUACAAAUACAUUGUCUGAUUUUCCAUUAUUUAAUGUUAUUUAUUGAUAUUAUUAUUUUUAUUUAUUAUUAUUUAUUAACAUUGUUAUCGUAUGUAUUAUUAUUCCUACUAAAUUUAAAUAACAGCCUAAGUUAAGCUUGUUUGGCUUAGUUUGUUUAAUCUUGUAGCCCAAAUCUUAUCCAAAUCGUUACAAUUCUAACUUAAUUCACUUGACCCAUUACAAUUUUUAGCCAAGAUCAUUUCAAUUCUAGCCACAUUUAUAUAUGCAUAUCUCAAUUUUGGCCUAAUUGAAUCAGUUUAUUACAAUUGAGACAAUUUUAAUUUCCAUCAAAUCUCAGUCGUUGAUCUAAUUGAUCCCAACGGCUGAGAUCACUCCAACUCAUUCUUUUCUUUUAAAUCAUACCAAAAACCCUAAACUCCCCAUUUCUCCAAAAUGUCGCCUCCCUCAAGCUCCCUCUCUCUCUCCAACGCGCUCUCUCUCUCUCAGACCAAGGGCAGCGGCACCGCUACCAUGACACUGUCUCCCUCACCUCCAACUACUGCUCGGUCAGUGCAAAGGCAGCAACAAUAAAAUGAACCCAUCGUUGUUUUCAUCCCUCCGACGACGAUGACGAACCAGCCUCCCUCGCCACACGAAACCAUCGGCGAGACCCCCUUUCUACCACAGUACAAGCGCGCCUCCUCCGCACCAUCAGUCGCUUCGAAUCCGACUCCAGAACUGUCAACCUCCCCUCUCCAUCAUCACCGACCUAUUCUUUGAAAAUGAUGGGUUCUCAAGAACCUGUCCACAGGUUUGAUUAUUUAUUUUUGUUGAAUUUCUCCUACUCAUUUCCCCUUUUCUUUUCCCUUGACAGAAAUCAACGAAGGUCGACUAAUAGUUUUCGUUUAAACUAUCAUCCUAUGCAUGAUUAGUUGUCCUUAAAAAUUUGCUAUGAUGUUUUGAUAGUUGUGACAGAUUUCUGGUUACACAUUGGAAUUUAAUUUGAUUAGCCUUAUGUGACUAAUCGAUGAAUUUUUUCGUGGCUUGACUUUCCUUUCUCUCGGUAGUUUAAGUAUAACUCUAAUUCUGUGAUUGACUAUCAAAAUUGUGACAGGCUUGACGUCUUUUCUUUAUGGUAAAGAGAUGUUCGAUCGCACAUUAAUUUGGGGGGUUGAUUUUACAUAUAAUUAAAUGUCUGGUUUUAAUUUGGUAAAGAAUGUCUGAUUGCGUAGAUUUCGUAUAAUUUUAUUAUUUUCCACGAAUUUAAAUUGGUAAGCAUGUCUCUUGGGCAUAGCAUAUGUAUUAUUCUUAUUUUUUUCACAAUUAUUUAUGGUAAAUUUAAUGUUGAUUGAAUGAAUCUCUCUUGACCGAUAAGGCUGUUAUAUAUGGUAAAUGCAUAUUUAUAUGUCUUUUUAUUUAUGUUAUACGUAUUUUACUUAUUUAUAUAAGGUAAAUAUUAUUCCCAAUUGAUUUUAGUCUACGCGAUUAAGGUUGUUGAAGGAUUCCCUUAAUCUUUGCUUUCCUUUUAUCAUGUUAUUGAAUUUUACAUAAUUAAUUUUAUUAACUUUUUUUAACGAAAAGACAUUCUUGAUUGAUCCAUCGAAAUAUUUUCUUUCCUUUUACUUUCCAGGUUCCCUCCACUAUAUAAACAGACCCCUCUCUUCUCAUUAAGGAUGGAUCUCAAGUUUCACACUUGCAAUUACAAUUACUAUUACACUCUUAACAAAAAUCAUUGGUUUUUCUCAAGUGCUUUUGGUUCUCUUUUGAGACUACUAAAAUAUCUCCCAUAUUGUGCUAUUACGUGUGCUUGGCUUUCAUUACUUUUUUUAUUCUCUCCUUACUGCUAUUCACUAGUGAGUUCUCGAACGACGCAAUUACUUUAUUCUCUGUGUAUGUUGACUGCAUAAUGUUAUGAAGGCCUUUAGAAAGCAUGACUGUAGGAAUAUCUCGGUCUUUGUUCUUGUUCUGAAAUGUCUUGCAGGACUAAAUACACUUACAAGUUUCUAAGAGUCACCGGGACAUUUAAUUAACUAUGUAUUCUUGAUAGUUUUUUAUUGUUCUUCUUGAUUUUCGUAUUUUGGUUUGUAAUAUUACUGUAAAGACACUACUAUUAAUGAUGUAAUAAUAAUUGGGGGGACUGCUUUGGGGGACGGGGAUUAUGUGCUCUAUGAAUUGAGUAGUAGACACAAUUUAAGUUUUUACGUGUCUUAUAUGCUAUAUGAAACACUUAGGGAAAACGCGAUUUAAUUUACUUACUUGGCCGUCUAAAAAUCCUGCUUUAGGAAUUUUAAUUAAUUUUGACAUAUUGAAUUAUGUUUUGGCAACAUGGAAAUUGAUGAAUACUGUUUACUACAUAUUUUUAGCAUCAAAGUCAUUUUUCAUCACAUUCUAGACAUAUUCUCACAUAUUAACAUGUUAAAGAAUACAUCCUAGCAUAUUUGACAUCAAACAUAUUACUAUAUUAUUUGACAUCAAGCACAAUAGUACAUUAUUCGACACUGAGCAUGACAGCAUAUUAAUAUAUUUGGUAGCUUGUUAAAUACUAGGCAUGUUUAUAUGUCUAAUUCAUAUUUCAGCAUGUCUAAUUAAUCUUUUAGCAUGUCUAAUUAAUUCUUUCACAGGUUUAAUAUAAUUUUCAGCAUGUUUCAUACAAUUUUCAGCAUGUUUAGUACAAUUUUCAGUAUGUUUAACAAUAUGUUCAGCAUGUUUAAUUAAUUUUACAGCUUGUCUAAUUAAUUCUUACACAUGAUUAGUCAAUGUUUAGCAUGUUUAAUUAAUUUUACAGCACGUCUAAUUAAUUCUUUCUCAUGAUUAAUCAAUGUUCAACGUCUAAUUAACUUUUCAGCAUGUCUAAUUAAUUUUUUCAGCAUAAUUAAUCAAUUUUUAGCAUGUUUAAUUAAAUGGUUAGCAUGUUUGAUUAAUUUUUAGGCAUGUUCAACAUAACCUUCAGCAUGUUCGAUAAUGUUUAAGUAUAAUAUCAGAAUGUUAGUUUUUAGCCAUCUUUAGUAUGUUGGUAAACGUUUAGCAUGUCACUAUGAAAUUCCUGCAAUAAUACAAUUUUUGUCACAUAUUAACACACACAUAUUUUGAGCACCUUUUGAUAUGUCUAAACACUAAAAUAAGUACAUUAUGGCAUUCUUAACAUGUUAACGUCUUUAAAUAUUCUUGUUGAUUUUUUAUGUUCUCAUUUAUAUUUUACAACACUUAAUUCACAAGCACAUUUUUGUUUAACACAUUUACCACACUUUUGACACCUUUUAUGAAUACACAUAAGGUUGUUGCAUACACGAAUCACAGUAUUUUAUCACGAAUCGUUGAUCAUUUAGACAUUAUGCCUAUAGGUUAAUGAUAGUAAAAUUUUCUUGUCUUUGCGUGUCAUCACGCUAAUUAAUAUUAACUAAUCAAGAGGCUAACUUGGGAUUAUUACGUGCUACCUGUUGUCCAAUAUGUUCGCGCUUCGAGUCCUAGGCAACAUAGUUUUCUCUUAGUCUAGAACACAAAUCCAAAAUAGUAAAGUCCAAUGCCUCUUGGAUGAUAGUCGGGACGUUAAAUAUUACUAAAAAUAUUAGUUUUGUCCUUGUCAUAGAACGCCCUUAGACUUGACAUCCAGCCUAGGUGGGGUGGGACGGGUAGCCCUUUUCGGAAAUGAUGAUCCCAACAAAUAUUAACGGCGAGGCUAAUGACAUUAUUACUUGUCUAAGAGUUUGGCCUUUAGGUCGGAUGAUGAUUAACAAGUUGGAUUUCUGAUCCGAAUAAAAUCAAAACAUCUCUUUGUUUGACUCGGAUGAUUUCUUUUAGUCUUUUUAUUUAUUUUACAUGUUUAUCUGGGUAGCUAGUUUAUUAUAAAGCAGUCCUCUUUUUAUUAUAUGUCAUUUCUUUAUCGUCGCUUAUCUUAUUUCUAUAUUUUUUAUUUAUUUUAUCACCUAGAUAAUUAACAAUUAGCAUUAACAAAUGACAUGUGUUUGUUUAUUAAUUAUCUUAUUGCUUAACUAAACGUUAAAUUAAUAAUAAAAUAAGAAUUUAUUUGAUCACGUAGAAUCCUUACGUAAAGUAUGAAUUCGGCCGGGAACCACCUUUGUGGACCUCGAAAGGUGCCUAACACCUUCCUUUUGAGGUAAUUUGAACCCUUACCCGAACUCUGGUGAACUAAGCCUAAAUAAAAAAAUAGGUUCAUAGUAUCCUACACCGGUGCCCUAACGCACCUUAAUAUGUUAGGUGGCGACUCUCACACCCUUCCUUUCAGACGCAAUCCCAAGAGAGUUCGUCGAGUCGAAUUCCGCCUUUUGUGAGAAAAACGGGGCGCGACAACACUCAUAAUUGUUAAACAUAUAUCAUUUGUACAUUAUAUAAUAUUUUGCAAAUGGUGUGCAUAUACCAAUGUAUUCAAAUUUCUGAAGAUAAGUAAAGAUUAAUUCCUUCAGCGUAUCUGCAUGGUAUGAGAUAGGAAAAACAUGUGGUUGUGGCUUUCAUCUCUGUGAAGGAAAUAUAGAUUUGUACUGCAUAUCUUAGGGCAGAACGUAUUUUUUCAUUCAUGAAAGAAGAAUUAGGAACAAUUGAGAUUAAAUGAGCUGAAGCAACUAUUUGUGCCCUUGGUGAAUGUGACAUGUACUUUCUUUUCUCACAGAGCUAUUUGUGCUCGUGAUUCAACAUAAAGUACUUGCACAUCUUCCUGGUUUUUGAGUAAUGUGGUUUAGUACUCUUAUUCAAGUAAGUCUUGCUUAUAAGGACCAUAAAUACCAAGUUGUAGAUGUUGCUGUUUGAAUGAGAUGAACAAGAAAAACAUCUUGGGAUGUAAGCUAUCCUAGAGUUAUUUUAUUACUUCUCAUUAUGGUUGUUUAAUAUCUCUUUGCCUCUGUAGAUAUAAAUGAAAUAAAAAACGACUCUAUGCAUCAGACAAUUCUUCUCUUUAUGUUGCUUUUCCUACUGUGAGUGAAUGGAAAUAUAAGAAAUUCUUGAUGAACCAAGUAAGAUUUGUAUUUUAAGUUUACAAGUGCUUAGAGUCCUCAGGCUAUUGUCAUAAGAGCUAUGGCAGAAAUAUGACAAGAGUACUGGCAAUGCAGAGUUCUGUCUGAAUACAAUAAUGGUGACGUGGUACUCUAAUAUUUGAGUAUGGCUAUUUAUCUUUUUUUCUCAGAUUUUUAGGUUGUUUAAUUCAUUUAUUAGGAUAAAAAAAGUAAUUAUUCAUUAUUUUUUAGAUUUAAUAUUCUUUGGUUACUUCUCAUUUAACCCUAUUAAAUAACCCUAGUAAAGAUCUAAUUGGAUGGCCUUCUUUAUUUGCAUAUUUUAACC
rnacentral:lncRNA from 1 species